rnacentral:rRNA from 1 species
UUGUGCAGCAUUGCGUGAGCUUCGCUCCUUAUGCUCCACCGGUCCUGCGUGCUCUCGCAAGGAGUGCGUCUGGAGGGUGGGCGGAUUACUUUGAGAAAAUUAGCGUGCUCAACGCAGGCGAUAUGCUUGUAUACUGUUGCAUGGAAUAAUGAGAAAGGACCUCGGUUCUGUUUCGUUGGUUUCCGGAAGCUGAGGUAAUGAUUGAUAGGGACAAACGGGGGCAUUCGUAUUGCGGUGUUAGAGGUGAAAUUCUGUGAUCACCGUAAGACGAACUACUGCGAAAGCAUUUGCCAAGAAUGUUUUCAUUAAUCAAGAACGAAAGUUAGAGUUUCGAAGACGAUUAGAUACCGUCCUAGUUCUAACUAUAAACUAUGCCAACUGGGCAUCUGGCGACUGCACUCGUGCAUCGCCAGGCACCCUCCGGGAAACCAAAGUUAUUGGGUUCCGGGGGGAGUAUGGUUGCAAAAUCGAAACUUAAAGGAAUUGACGGAGGGGCACACCAGAAGUGGAGCCUGCGGCUCAAUUUGACUCAACGCACGAAAACUUACUCGGUCCGAACACCGUGAGGAUUGACAGGUUGAAAGCUCUUUCUUGAUUCGGUGGGUGGUGGUGCAUGGCCGUUCGUAGUUGGUGGAGUGAUUUGUCUGGUUUAUUCCGAUAACGAACGAGACUCUAGCCUAUUAAUUAGUAAGGCGAGCGAACCGUUCUGCGGUGAUGCCGCCCUCAUACUUCUUAGAGGGACAAGUAUCGUGAGAUACACGAAGUUGAGCAAUAACAGGUCUGUGAUGCCCUUAGAUGUUCGGGGCUGCACGCGCGCUACAAUGGAGGCUUCAAAAAGCAUUCCUGCUCCGAAAGGAACAGGGAAUCAAAAAUAGCCUUCACGAUUGGGAUCGGAGAUUGUAAUUAUUCUUCGUGAAAGAGGAAUUCCUAG